UACGUAGGGGGCAAGCGUUGUUCGGAAUUACUGGGCGUAAAGGGCGCGUAGGCGGCACGGCAAGUCGGGAGUGAAAGCCCGGGGCUCAACCCCGGAACGUCUUUCGAAACUGCCGAGCUAGAGUGCGGAAGGGGCAACUGGAAUUCCCAGUGUAGCGGUGAAAUGCGUAGAUAUUAGGAAGAACACCAGUGGCGAAGGCGGCUCACUGGCUCGGUACUGACGCUGAGGCGCGAAAGCGUGGGGAGCAAACAGG
rnacentral:rRNA from 1 species